AAUAAGACUGUGAUGAGGAUUAGUAGCUCGAUGCGCGCAUCGCACAGAGAGCCGGCGGUUGGUGGAAGCCGGUGAUGGGCAGGAGCGAACUCGCCUCGGAGUCUCGCAGCCGAACGGCAGGGAGGCUGUGACGAUUCACCGGCGUUAACGGUGCAGAGGGAGUGGAAGGCAAAGCAUGCCUUUCGCUAACUAGGGUGGUACCACGGGAAUUGAACCUCUCGUCCCUAGC
rfam:Paenibacillus dendritiformis C454 PDENDC1000017, whole genome shotgun sequence.